AUUUAAGCAAAGGAAACAGAAAGUGUCCCCUUUUCCCCUUUGCAUCCUCCAGUGGCAGUAUGUGAGCCACUGGCAAGAGAGGGCACCAGCGAAAGGCAUCCUCUAUAAGACCACUCCAUGCUUAAUGAAAGAAGAGAUGGCAUGGCACAGGAUCUACCGGAACAAGGCAGCAACAUCGAAUUUGAAACCAUUUACAUUGAUGAUAAAGCUCAAGUAAAACUGUAGGGGAAUUUCCUGGGAAACAACAGAGGUCUGGCAGAACCCUCAUGGACAUGAAGGACCAGAAUUGAAGAUACAUUUAAUAAUAUAUAUGUAUGCAGAUACAGUUUUGAAUUAUUCAAAAGGAAUCAUGAUGAAAUUCAUCUGUGAAUGCUAUCAACAGACUGACACCCUCUUUCUGAGAGAUGCUUAUAGCAAUGAAGUAUCUUCAAGAUCUUGAAGAGAAGACCUUGUGAUAAAUAAUCUUUUAUGAGCCUUGUGAUUCUCAUUUAAUUAAAGAUGAACUGGAUAAGCUUUCUAUCUCUCCUUGGGAUUUUUAAUAAAAGUUAAAAAUAAU
rnacentral:lncRNA from 1 species